UACAGGAAGUUGAUUCAUCACCCAUCCACAGUUUUUUCCUUUUUGGAAUCCAUUGAACUGAAAAAAGCUACAUGUGAGCUGAAAGUAUGAAAAUAACAUAUCUUUGAAAGAAUAAAGAACUAGCUUUAACAUAUCUAUGAAAGAAUACACCUCCGAGGAACUAGCUUUGAACAUAUCUCUGAAAGAAUAGAGAGCAUGCAAAGUUCAAGGAAAGAAUAAGCAAAAUGGCACACUAGUACGCAGUAGUACGAGUCCAGUCAUGUACGUGCUAGUAUUAGAUUUGAAUAGUAGCUAGAAUUGAAGUUCAGGUAACCAUGGCACACACAUCAUACAGUUUCAGUCAUGUAUGCACACACUGUAAUAGUAGCUGCAAUUAAAGUUCAAAUAACCACGACACCCAUAACAGAACAAGAAUCAGUCUAGCAGCUAGGCAAGGAAGCUUCAUCAGCAUGAAUACAUAGCGGCAAGCUAGAACACGCUAGUAGGCUGUAGAAGUCUCCUUGUAAUUUUUCAAACAAAAGUACUUUAGUUCAGUUCAGUAGUAAGGCAUGGAAAAAAGAAAAGCAAUAGAAUAAACUAUAACCGAGCCAAAUAUGUAAUUUCAACAAACUAGACCUCAUUGCUUGACUUCAGUAGUAAUACACGAUCAUCAGUUCAAUAUAAACAGACUGAUGUUAACAUCACCAAUAUGCUGUCCGUCCAACCUCCCUCGGGCUGCAGUUCCAAUAGGAAACAAAUUAGUAAGAUGAAGAGCAUUAGAGAGGAAAGAGAUAGAACGGGUGCAUGGACUGCCGCUGGUUUUCUCAUUGAACCACAGCUGAAGAAACUCCUACAGGCUACAGGUCGUAAUGAAGAGAAAACGGAGAUGAUGUUGUGUGGCGGCGGCG
rnacentral:lncRNA from 1 species